rnacentral:rRNA from 1 species
ACGUAGGGGGCUAGCGUUAUCCGGAAUUACUGGGGGAAAAGGGGGAGGAGGAGGUAUCUUAAGUCAGAGGUGAAAGGCUACGGCUCAACCGUAGUAAGCCUUUGAAACUGGGAAACUUGAGUGCAGGAGAGGAGAGUGGAAUUCCUAGUGUAGCGGUGAAAUUCGUAGAUAUUAGGAGGAACACCAGUUGCGAAGGCGGCUCUCUGGACUGUAACUGACACUGAGGCACGAAAGCGUGGGGAGCAAACAG